GACGAACGCUGGCGGCGUGCCUAAUACAUGCAAGUCGAACGCAGUGGGGACGGGUGAGUAACACGUGGGUAACCUCCCAUCAGAGGGGAUAACACUUGGAAACAGGUGCUAAACCGAUACUGAUGGAUGGACUCGCGGUGCAUUAGCUAGUUGUCGAGGUAACGGCUAACCAAGGCGACGAUGCUUAGCCGGCCUGAGAGGAUGAGCAGCCACACUGGAACUGAGACACGGCCCAGACUCCUACGGGAGGCAGCAGUGGGGAAUAUUCGGCAAUGGGCGAAAGUCUGACCGAGCAACGCCGCGUGAGUGAAGAAGGUUUUCGGAUCGUAAAGCUCUGUUAUUAGAGAAGCGGUAUCUAACCAGAAAGCCACGGCUAACUACGUGCCAGCAGCCGCGGUAAUUC
rnacentral:rRNA from 1 species